rnacentral:sRNA from 1 species
AUUUAACCUGUAUUGAAAUGGUGGAUUAAUUAUAUUUUACUUUUUUAUUAAUGUUGAUUUAAAAAUUCGUCCCUCCAAAUCCGUCUUGCCAAAAAGCCAAUUAUUUUAUUAAUAUUAAUUUUAUUUAUGAUAUGUCUCUGAAUUAUAAUCUUAACAUUUUAGCUAAUAACAUAUGAAUGC